GAGCGAGUUUCAGAGUCCACCUGGGUCCUCUCGCAGCGCCUGACCGACACCGUUGGCCAGGACAAGCCCUCCACCCUCACUGUCCCAGGUUCCAUCGCGAACUCCAUGAUAGUUUCCAUUUUCUGCUCACUCUUCCCCUGUGCUGGCCGUGCUCUGCUAGGCUCCUUCUACAUGUUACAGUAGCCCUGUCGGCCCUCUUUUAUACGGAAACCGAGGCUGAGGAAAGCCAGGACUAACCCAGAGUCACACCACUAAUAAAUCACACUUUAAUCUCAGUUUAGACAGGUCCAGAUCCCAUGCUGUCAGCCACUGCCCAGUACCGAUAGCACUCAAGGCCUCUGGCUCUGUGACUCAGUGUUGUGACACAAGGGGAUUGAGGUGAAGACUGCGCAUGCGAUGUACGCCUGGGGAACCUCAGCCGGGUGACCUGGGCACGCCCCCGACAGGUUCCCCAGGGGUCUCACACGGUCCUCCACAGAGUGCGCAGUUCACACGCGGCUUGGAGGGCCAGCUUCGCUGUGGCUCUGGAGUUGGGGCUGGUGAGAUGGCUCACUGGGUAAAAGCACCUGCCACCAAGCCUGAUGAUAAUUAUGAUAAUUUCUGUACCUGGUACCUACGUGGUAGGAGAAAACUGAUCCCCACAGCUUGUCUUCUGACCUCCACAUAUAUGCUGUGACACGUUCCCCUGCCUCCUACCAAAAAAUAAAUAAAUGCAAAGAAAAAAUUUUAAGAUGAAAAUAAAAAUACCUUAUCAUCCCA